rnacentral:rRNA from 1 species
UACGGAAGGCAGCAGUGGGGAAUAUUGCACAAUGGGCGAAAGCCUGAUGCAGCUAUGCCGCGUGUAUGAAGAAGGCCUUAGGGUUGUAAAGUACUUUCAUCGGGGAGGAAAAAACAAAACUAAUAAUUUUAUUUCUUGACGUUACCCGAAAAAGAAGCACCGGCUAACUCCGUGCCAGCAGCCGCGGUAAUACGGAGGGUGCUAGCGUUAAUCAGAAUUACUGGGCGUAAAGAGCACGUAGGUGGUUUUUUUAAAGUCAGAUGUGAAAUCCCUUGGGCUUAACCUAGGAACUGCAUUUUGAAACUGAAAUACUAGAGUAUCGUAGAGGGAGGUAGAAUUCUAGGUGUAGCGGUGAAAUGCGUAGAUAUCUGGAGGAAUACCUGUGGCGAAAGCGGCCUCCUAAACGAAUACUGACACUGAGGUGCGAAAGCGUGGGGAGCAAACAGGGAUUAGAUACC